UGGCGGGCCCCGUGCGAUGCCGCGGUGUGAACCCUGUCAGGUCCGGAAGGAAGCAGCAGU
rnacentral:SRP_RNA from 1 species